GUGCUUACCUGGCAGGGGGAGAUGCCAUGAUCACGAAGGUGGCUUCCCCAGGGACGGGCUCGUCCACUGCACCGGACGUGCUGACGCCUGCGAUUUCGGAACAAGUGGGAAACCCGACGGCGCAGUGUUUGUUAGCUGGGGAUCGCGUUCGCGCUCUCCCCGG